rnacentral:sRNA from 1 species
UGAAUAUCAACAUAUGUACCAUGUCCUA